UACGUAGGGUGCGAGCGUUGUCCGGAAUUAUUGGGCGUAAAGAGCUCGUAGGCGGUCUGUCGCGUCGGUCGUGAAAACUUGGGGCUUAACCCUGAGCUUGCGGUCGAUACGGGCAUGACUGGAGUUCGGCAGGGGAGACUGGAAUUCCUGGUGUAGCGGUGAAAUGCGCAGAUAUCAGGAGGAACACCGGUGGCGAAAGCGACUCUCUGGAACGGGCAACUGACGCUGAGGCACGAAAGCCAGGGGAGCGGAAACGGG
rnacentral:rRNA from 1 species